rnacentral:rRNA from 1 species
AACGAACGCUGGCGGCAUGCCUAACACAUGCAAGUCGAACGAGACCUUCGGGUCUAGUGGCGCACGGGUGCGUAACGCGUGGGAACCUGCCCUUAGGUUCGGAAUAACUCCCCGCAAGGGGUGCUAAUACCGGUUAAUGUCUUCGGACCAAAGAGUUAUCGCCUUUGGAUGGGCCCGCGUUGGAUUAGCUAGUUGGUAGGGUAAAAGCCUACCAAGGCGACGAUCCAUGGCUGGUCUGAGAGGAUGAUCAGCCACACUGGGACUGAGACACGGCCCAGACUCCUACGGGAGGCAGCAGUGGGGAAUAUUGGACAAUGGGCGAAAGCCUGAUCCAGCAAUGCCGCGUGAGUGAUGAAGGCCUUAGGGUUGUAAAGCUCUUUUACCCGGGAUGAUAAUGACAGUACCGGGAGAAUAAGCUCCGGCUAACUCCGUG